rnacentral:lncRNA from 1 species
GGGUCUGAGUGUAACAUAGAAUUAGAGGGGUUGUAUAGCGGUGUCACGUCUAGACUAAUUCCAGUUUGGCUAUCGUGAAAACCCUAGCCAGUGGUUGUUCUCUUUACAUGCAAUUUCACACCUAGUUGCGAUCAACUAUUGUGUAAAAGCUGUGAAAAGGACCAUAGCUCUGGUGGCCUUGAUCUUAGGUUUAUGGAGUCAUCCCCG